AUAUUCGCUCGUUUUAUAGCUUUAAUCCUGCCGCUGUUUGAGCUCGGAUCUCCCAUAUCUCACUCAUGGAGACCUUCUCUUCAAGGCUUCUGCUACCAAUCUUCUUCACCUCACUCCUGUUGCUUUCCUCUCCACAAACUGCUACUGUGGCAGGGGAGGUUGUUGGAACAUCUGGGCAGCCCAUCAGCAGGCAUGGAGGUCUGGCGCUUCCUCGGCGACUGAGAUCUAGAGCCCCUGAGCUUCGUCCUCCUCCACCAACCCGAAAUGCUGAGCACAAUUAUAUAAUAACCGUGCCUCCGCCACCAGAUGUAUGACAAUAAGCGUUAAGUGUGUAUGGAUGCAAUAUAAAUUCUCAUGUUUCGUAGUAAGGAGAAAAGGAUGGAUGAAAUUGUUAUGCCUGAUAUAAUUUGUGAUUCUGUAAUUUAUUUUGGAAAUGCAUUGCAUUCUUGGAGAUAUUUGCGUGCUUGUCUGGAUCUAUAAAAUUUUGAAUUCAUGUGA